rnacentral:tRNA from 1 species
GGGGUUAUAACUCAGUGGUAGAUUGCUCACCUUCCAUGUCUGAGGCUCUGGGUUUGAUUCCCAGCACCUCCA